AGUAAAGCAAAGCACUGAUUAAACCUUGUCAGAUAAGAAGCAAUGUCUCGGACAUCGUCACAUUUUAAAAGGAGCAAAGUGCAAGCGCCAAACGAAUCUUAUCUUAAAAUAGUUUCCCGAAUGACUAAUGGAAGAUGCCUGUAGAGGAAUGUUUUGCGGGCCAAUUAAAAAUAGAACGACCUCUACCGCAGCCCAACCAGCUGUUACCCCUCUCACUGCGGACGUUGUUUCAUUUCACCCACUUCCGACAAUGGGUUUGGUUUGAGAGUCAGCUCACAUGCACCGCUGCCUUGGGGCCACUGACUGAGGUGACUUUAGAACAUGCCAUUCUCCCGAAGCACAUAGGCUGAUAAGAAGGGCAAUUGAGCUCCGUACAAUACUUUCAUCAAGAGUGAAAGAGAAAGGGGCUUAUCAAUGAGAAAAACUAAACGAACAAUGCGUUUCAGGAUUGACCCAUAAAAGCGUUUAUAAAAAUGUUUACUGUAAUUUAUCAAGAUUGAAAUUAUAAAUUUCUUCAGAUAAUUCAUAAUCGCAUUGCCUCUGCGGAAUUUUGGUGCGCUAACGUUCAAAACAGAGAUUCUUUGAGUAGAGUAAAGUUUCCGCUUUAUGAUGUAAGUUUUGCUUACUACAGCAUUACGCCUUGUGAGCAAGCAAAGGGGUGGUGGCAUUCAUCAUCCUACCCCACGGCUCCCGUAUCACAACAGCGCUAAAUAUAAACAAAUCGUGACAAAUAGCUGUAAGUGCACCCGUCGUUAUCUGCCUCCAGAAGACAAUGGCAUCCACCUAUCAAUUUCCUCGCCCUCCCCACCUGCAAAUCGGAUCGGAGUGUGACUGAGUCACAUCAUUUCCAUGAGCCGCAACCUUUCGGCGACCUACAUCCCAGUUGGCACCGCAAGUUACACAUUCCGGGCACCAAACUUAGCACUUCCAAAGGCAGCCGUGUGCUCAUACGCGUACGUAUUGUUUUCGGAUCGGAUUUAUGUCAGGGAGUGCAAUUAGAACAGCACCGAGGCAUCGGUGAGCGCCUGAUUAGCGAAUUAUGGCAAGCCGACGGGCGUUUAAUGGGCGAUAAGAUUACUGGGGAGUAUAAAUAACUUGGGUUUCGAAUUUUCUGAUAGAACCCGUGGCCAGUGGCCAGCGGUCGCCCAUUUCAAUUAUGAUGUCACUGUCGCCAAGUCAAUGAACGUCUCCCGACACCUUAAACAGAAAGCAAGACAACAUACAUCAACAUUUACAGCGACUAGUCAUCCCCGACCGACGUCUCCAUAUGGCAAACGGCGUCGUGAUUUGUACAAAAUACAGCGGAAGGAAAAAAUGGGCGAAAAAUAUACGAAGAUAAGACAGAAAACAAUGAAACUCGAAAAGCGCCAAGGGACAGAACCAAUCGGACGCCUAGAAAUUGGAACACCAAAGAGCCGUUCAUGCCAUCUCAUCUCCCCCGGUCCGCCACAUCCCACUCCAGAUGUCCCAAGUCGGCGAUAAGGCAGCAGCGUCGAGUAUCGGAUUCGAAUCAUAAAAACGUAAACGACAAAAGCGAAACGCACGGCAAACAAACAAUACAAUAGAAACUGGCGUGAGAUAAAGCCAGUAUGAAAGAAAGACCAACAACAAUGGUAAUAAUAAUAAAUGGAAAUUAAAAAUUGAUUGCUUCUUUGGCCGGCGCUUCUUCGCAUCCGCCUCAGUACAGUGGUUGUGCAUUGAUUGAAAAGCGAAGGCUCAGCUUUGAUUGGUAGCUUUAUGGCAUUUCAUUCUGGGACGGGACUAUCUUUCGGCUGCUUUCAUUCUGGGAAUUCUUACUUUCUUACUUUGUUUACUUCUAAUCAAACUUGAACUGGUGUGACACACAAGAAAUCAAACCACGGUGCACUUUGGCCAAGAGGGAUACAGUCUACCCCAACGACCGACAAUCGUUGUUAUUCUUCGUCAAUCAGAGACAACCUCGCGAUUGGAUUGCGUUGGGGAAAAACGAAUUACUUGACCGGCUGAGUUUGGCGAAAACGGAAAUCCAACAUUAUUCACUCUCUCUGGCCUGUUCACCGAUUUACCGAUUCACCGAGCAUACACGUAACGCCGAAUCCGCGCUAGUUUUAUGAUCGCCACUCACCUCAUGACUGCGCUUCAGCGAGG